rnacentral:rRNA from 1 species
CCUACGGGCGGCAGCAGUGAGGAAUAUUGGUCAAUGGACGCAAGUCUGAACCAGCCAUGCCGCGUGCAGGAAGACGGUGCUAUGAGUUGUAAACUGCUUUUGUCCGAGGGCAAACGCAGACACGCGUAUCUGUCUGAAAGUAUCGUACGAAUAAGCAUCGGCUAACUCCGUGCCAGCAGCCGCGGUAAUACGGAGGAUUCAAGCGUUAUCCGGAUUUAUUGGGUUUAAAGGGUGCGUAGGCGGUCGGAUAAGUUAGAGGUGAAAUCCCGAGGCUCAACUUCGGAAUUGCCUCUGAGACUGUUCGGCUAGAGAGUAGGUGCGGUAGGCGGAAUGUAUGGUGUAGCGGUGAAAUGCUUAGAGAUCGUACAGAACACCGAUUGCGAAGGCAGCAUACCGGG